GCGGAUGUCGUAUAAUGGUUUAUUAUCUCGGCCUUCCAAGCCGAUGACGCCGGUUCGAUUCCGGUCAUCCGCUCUA
rnacentral:tRNA from 1 species